rnacentral:lncRNA from 1 species
AUAGAGAAAGAGAAUCACUCAGGAAUAGACAGGCUUUUCUUUUCCUCCAGCCUCAGGACUUGGAGCAUUCAGGACUAUCCCCCAGUUAGGAUGCAUUCCAGCCAGACUACACGACUCGGAUGAAAAAAAAAAAAAAAUCAGCUCUUACUUUUUUCCUGACUAGGAGAGAGGAUCGAAACGAAGCAGAGACUAAGAACAGAUGAAUGAAAGGUCCUGACCUUGUCUGUAUCUCCUGAAUCAGCCAUGCCUGAAGUCUGCUCCAAGAUCAUCUAACUCAGAAGGCGACAUGCUGGCUGGGUUCUGUCAACAUGCUACAAACCUAGACAUGUCUGGGAAGAGAGAUUCUUAACUGAGAAAAUUCAUCCGUAAGAUUUACCUGUGGGCCCAUCUGUGGGACAUUUUUCUUCAUUAGUGAUUGGUAUGGGAGGGCCCAGGUCAUGGAAGGGGGUGCCACCCCUGGGUAGGAGGUCCUGAUUUGUAUAAGAAACACAACUGAGCAAGGUAGAAGGAGCAAGUAGGUUGGCAACACCCUCCCAUGACUUCUGCAUCAAUUGCUGCCUCCAGGUUCCUGCCUUGAGUUCCUGCUUUGACUUCCCUCAGUGAUGGACUUUGAUGGGGAACUUUAAGCUGAAGUAAACGUUUUUCUUCCCU